CUGCAGCCCCAUGAAGGAGCACGUCAUUGUCCUAAUUUUAGAGGUUCGGGAAAGUAGACAUCUCAAGAAUGCGGGACUGGUACUAUAACAAACGCAGGAGAGAAACUGAAUGACAAAUGAGAAGAUUUGUGGUGCUGAAAUUUAGAUGCAUUUGCACCUGGGAUUUUGGACGCACUUGCACCUGGAAACCAAAGUCUCUGGUGAAGAGGAAUAGAAGCAUCCUUCAUAGAUCCAUCAUAGAAGUCAUUGCCACAUGGGGAAUAUUUCUGCGGAAGCAUCAUGCUUGCUACGUAGAGAACUGUAUUUUAUCCUGGAAGCCCAGCUGUCUUUGGUAACUGUUCCCCCCAAAAGGAAAACACAGUGAGAAGGGGAGUCGGUCUCGAUAAAUUCCAGGACCGUCACCACCAAGACCAGCAUCUGCCAGGCCCACAAUGUGCGAUGUUAUGACACUUGGUGAGUAACUUCUGACGUACGUAAUUAUGCAACAACAAGAUUUGCAGGAGCAAAACCGCACAGCUCCCCUGGGUGUGCUGCCAGUGAGCUCCACAAAUGAUUAAAUACAAAAUAAACAACAGCUAACUGUGAAUUAUGAAGUUGUAAUUCCACCAAGGGGGUUCCAGUGAUGUCAGAAACCACUGGAGCAGAGAUCUUGUCACAAAAGGAUCCCAGAUGGACUUGGAGGCCCGUAACUCAGCAGUGCUCUCUGCUGCAGACCGGGCUCCAAGAAAGCCUGGCCACUCCAUGUUGGCCCCUUCUCAUCUCUGCGAGAGCCCUGCUUUCUGGUUCUCUUCCUCUGGCCUUUCUAAAACCACACGAACCCUGCUUUCUUCAAUGUAGUUCCUUUCUCAUUAGUUACAUGGUCUGCCGUUAGAGACUCUUUCAGCCCCAGCCCCACGCACUCUUGACACAGCCAUCUAUGAAUUGCAUAUUAUACUGCAUGAGAAAGAACACAAAGCCUGGUAUUUAAUAGAAAAUCCAUUUAGGAUACAUCCAUUUAGCGCAUACCUUAAAAGGAGAUAUUUGUGAUGGAACUUUAGUACGUGCCAACCAUUGUGCCCCACUAAUGGAAUAAAUUUGUCUUUCAACAUGGCCAACUUGGAAAAGCUACGUUGAGAUUUUUCAAAUACAACCUUCCCACAGUCACUUUCUGAAAAAAAAAGGGGCAAAUUAAAACUUGGCUUUCUCAGACCACGCAGGAGAUAAGUAAACAAAAUUGCAGAAAAAUUAGGAAAAAAACUGUGCUUUAUCAACCAUCAGAAAGUUAAGGAAGGACUUUGUAAGAAAAGACGAUACAA